GACGAACGCUGGCGGCGUGCCUAAUACAUGCAAGUAGAACGCUGAAGGAGGAGCUUGCUUCUCUGGAUGAGUUGCGAACGGGUGAGUAACGCGUAGGUAACCUGCCUGGUAGCGGGGGAUAACUAUUGGAAACGAUAGCUAAUACCGCAUAAUAGUAGAUGUUGCAUGACAUUUGCUUAAAAGGUGCAAUUGCAUCACUACCAGAUGGACCCGCGUUGUAUUAGCUAGUUGGUGAGGUAACGGCUCACCAAGGCAACGAUACAUAGCCGACCUGAGAGGGUGAUCGGCCACACUGGGACUGAGACACGGCCCAGACUCCUACGGGAGGCAGCAGUAGGGAAUCUUCGGCAAUGGACGGAAGUCUGACCGAGCAACGCCGCGUGAGUGAAGAAGGUUUUCGGAUCGUAAAGCUCUGUUGUAAGAGAAGAACGAGUGUGAGAGUGGAAAGUUCACACUGUGACGGUAUCUUACCAGAAAGGGACGGCUAACUACGUG
rnacentral:rRNA from 1 species